rnacentral:rRNA from 1 species
CCUACGGGGGGCAGCAGUGGGGCAUAUUGCACAAUGGGGGAAACUCUGAUGCAGCGACGCCGCGUGAGUGAAGAAGUACUUCGGUAUGUAAAGCUCUAUCAGCAGGGAAGAAAAUGACGGUACCUGAUUAAGAAGCCCCGUCUAACUACGUGCCAGCAGCCGCGGCAAUACGUAGGGGGCAAGCGUUAUCCGGAUGUACUGGGUGUAAAGGGAGCGUAGGCGGCAGCACAAGUCUGGAGUGAAAUGCCGGGGCUUAACCCCGGAACUGCUUUGGAAACUGUGCAGCUAGAGUGCAGGAGAGGUAAGUGGAAUUCCUAGUGUAGUGGUGAAAUGCGUAGAUAUUAGGAGGAACACCAGUGGCGAAGGCGGCUUACUGGACUGUAACUGACGUUGAGGCUCGAAAGCGUGGGGAGCAAACAGGAUUAGAUACCCUGGUAGUC